UCCGAGUUGACCCCGGCAGUCUCCCAUGAGUCCCCACCAUAACGUGCUGGCAACAUGGAACGAGGGUUGCGCUCGUUGCGGGACUUAACCCAACAUCUCACGACACGAGCUGACGACAGCCAUGCACCACCUGUGACCCUGCCCCGAAGGGAAGACGUGUUUCCACACCGGUCACCAACAUGUCAAGCCCAGGUAAGGUUCUUCGCGUUGCGUCGAAUUAAACCACAUGCUCCGCUGCUUGUGCGGGUCCCCGUCAAUUCCUUUGAGUUUUAGCCUUGCGGCCGUACUCCCCAGGCGGGGCACUUAAUGCGUUAGCGUCGGCACGGGAGGAGUCGACACCUCCCACACCUAGUGCCCAUCGUUUACGGCGUGGACUAC
rnacentral:misc_RNA from 1 species